rnacentral:lncRNA from 1 species
ACUUGUGCCCCUCCUCUGUCCCCAGAACUACAGACCUGUCACUCGAGCAGCUUUUAGGACAAGGGUGGAGAAGGAUGGUAGACAUAGGAACCCAUAAAGUAGCCAGAAAGCCAGCCAUACUCCUCAGCCUCUCAAAUGCCACCUCACACUUGUGCCCACACCUCCCAGGGGUCCCCAGUGCCUGGUCCAUCAGCCCCCCUCUUCAUGUCACCUGCUUGGCCCUGUGGACACUGAAGGUCAAGGACACCCACACAAGGUCACACCAGCAGCAUGCUGGCGUGUCUUGGCUCAGAAACCCUGGGAACCUAUGAAGACUCUUUUUUUUUUCUUCAUUUCAUGUUUUUUUCUGUGAGAAAUAGGAAGGUGAUGGACUGGACUACAGAUUGAAACCUAAAAGAUACAAGGACCAGAAAUUUUUUUCAUAUUGGAUUAA